UUGUAGAUUAUAGAAGAAGUGAGCGGCUCCUCUUAUUACGAGCCUGAAUCCCAAAGCUCCUCAUCCAUUCUGAGGAGCGAGAGGCUGGACUCUUGCAGGUCAAGUACUGUCCUCCAUACGGACUCGGAUGAAGAGAAAAUCUCAAGUCUUCCGUCUGCAGUUAGCAGUGUGGAAAUCAAAGAUAAAGACCUAGCGGGCUUCCUGAGCGUGCUGAUGAACUGUCAGUGGCAGAGUCUGUGGUGUCGGGUGGAGGAUGGGGUUCUGAAGAUGUAUCGGGACGAGGCGUCAGAAGAGACCCCUCAGUACACGGUUCAGCUCAGAGGGAGCGAGGUGCGGCCCGGCCCGGAUACAGCACACGCGUACCGCAUUACCAUCACACAGCACGGGGACCAGGUGGCUGUGCUAGAGGCGAGUUGUGCAGAUGAUAAAGAGCAGUGGGUUCAGCUCCUGCAGGAUGGGAGUUCAACUGCAGCUGGUUCUCCAUAUCAACACACCAGCCACGAGUCACUGAGUGGUCUGAAAAGCCGCAGGUUUCCCACCUCAAACAUGUACAUGGACGACCCCUUUCAGCAGCUGUGUGGUCCAUCAGUCCACCCACAGCCCGUCUAUUCAAACACAUCCAUACUGGAGCCCAUGUUUGAGAAACCCUACACUGGUGGAAACGGAGAAUCGGUGUCAUCCAAGGAUUCUGCCAACUACAGCAAUAAUGAAAUCUUCAGCAACCACAGUACAAAAGUGUUUGAGAUUGAGAGGGGUGUGCAGAAGCUGGAUCUGACAGGAAAGAGACGUGUGCAGUUGCGAGCAGGGUCAGAGGUCAACCUCGUGAGCGUGGGGACGAAGCCAGCUAAACAGAACUCCUUCAGACGCUCCCUCGCUUUCUGCACUGAACGACCGGGUGGCUUUCUGACCCCACUCUUGAGAAGAACUGCCUCGGCAAAAAGCACCCUGAAGAAAGCCCCGUCUGCCCUGUUUAUGGAGCAUGGCAGGGUCUUCCAGAGGAGGAAGCAGUGGGAAACCAAAGCUUCAGGUUGACAUCAAGAGAAGACUCUCUCACAUCCCCCUCAUAUUGUCAAUAUAAUAUUGCACUGAAAAUAAUAGUCUUUGCAAGCAUGUGGAUCAUGCAGUGGUUUGGAUUUGUCAAGUUUGUGUUCUUUUUGGGGUACGUGGUACUUGUACGAAAAUAACUGACCAAACAAACUCUUUAUCAGCAUAGUCUGUCAGUAUGCAAACUUUCAUCGAGUUGCAAGAUUGUUAGGGAGCAACCGCAAAACAUUUUACAAUUGGAGUAAAUGUCUUUUAAGAUUAUGAUACUGAUGUACAUUUCUUCAGAAAUUAAAGAUAACUUUGACACCAACAUUUCAGGUAUUGAAUAACUCUAAGUCUAGAGAGUGGCACAUUUACAUAAAGUAGAGUUUUAUGUUUAUCAUUAUAGCACAGUAUUUAUCCUUAUGUAAAUCACUUUGCACUGUUUUGAACCCGACCCAAACUGUGUCUGUGGUUUGUCAAGAAGUCAUUGUCAUGGUCAAAAUCAGGAAUCGUCAGUGUGAAGAUCAGACAGGAUAUGCGUAUUGCUAACUGAUUAUUGAUUAUUGAAGAGUAAUUACCUCUUUCUUAUUUUUAUUUUCACAAGACUCACAAAUCUGUGGUAAUUUAUCAACAUUUGUACUUUUUAUUCCAAUGCACAUACAGUAUAUUAUGUGUCGAGCUUUUCUAAUAAUGUGCCUUAACCGUGUUUUUUUAUCCAUGUUUUUUUUUAAUGAAGCUUUGAUUUGUCUUUACAGCUGAAGAGAUUUUGCUGGUAUUGAUCCCACUUCAGGGAAGGUUCUUUUCUGUAUAGUUUGGUAGCUUGGUUAAGACAAGGAUGGCCUAAUAUUGCCAUAAAUAUAAAAAAAUAACUGUGGAGAACCAAAACACCACUGAUGAACAUAUUUCUAC
ensembl:lncRNA